CCUACGGGGGGCUGCAGUCGAGGAUCUUCGUCAAUGGGCGAAAGCCUGAACGAGCGACGCCGCGUGCGGGAUGAAGGCCCUUGGGUUGUAAACCGCUGUCAGGGGGGAUGAAACCGUAAGGUUGACAGAGCCCCAGAGGAAGCACGGGCUAAGUUCGUGCCAGCAGCCGCGGUAAUACGAACUGUGCGAACGUUACUCGGAAUCACUGGGCUUACAGGGUGCGUAGGUGGCUUGUUAAGCAGGGUGUGAAAUCCCUCGGCUCAACCGAGGAACUG
rnacentral:rRNA from 1 species